UAACGAUUCAGCGAAGCUCCAAAAAUCUUUAUAAAUACAGCCAUUGGAAGGACGAUCUUGAGUCAGGAAGGUAUUUUAGUCGUUGUUGGUAACUGUUCGUAGGUUGUUUCUUAGUGUGCGGCAUUCU